CACACAUUGUAAACUGUUAUAUCUGAAUCUGUCUUAUUGUGAAUCUAUUGUUUAAACUGCAGCAGCUGUGGCUGCUGGCUCCGCCCACCUCAGUUUCCAAACAUGGCAGUGGUACAGUAAGUUUACCGCUAGCUCUGGGAGCUAUCGUGGGUCUAUGCUUUUAUCCAAGCAGCGUGUAGCCCAGAAAGCUAUUUUUCAUUUUGUACUAACAAAGGCUAAAUCCACCACGCAGCUUAAUGUGCCACUUGCAGAGGCCUCAUUUACGCCAUACUGCAGGUUGAGCACAUCUUAUAUACAGGACCCUCAUCCCUCACAGUUGCUCCUUGUGAGGUCAGAGUGAGAAAUGGACCAAACACAGCAGGCUAUCUAUAGCCUACAGUGGCUGUCUUCAUGCUGUGCCCCAGGUACCUUUCCCCUUCUCAUCAAAAUGAGGCUGCACCUCCUCCGCCUAAAGCAAUGGACUAGAGUACUUUAUGGUUUCUUUAUGGGUGGUGGGACCACCAUCCAGCUGCCUGCUGUCCCAUACCAUGACCAAAAAAAUCUUAGGAAGAAAGGAUUUCUUUAGCUUGCAUAUUCUAGUCAAAGCCCAUCAAUGAAGAUAGUCAAGGUAAGAACUCAAGCAGGAGCAGAGAGAAGAAUCAUGGGGGAAAGUUACUGACGUGUUCUGCAUGACUUGCUCAGCUUGCUUUCUCAUAUGACUCAGGACAACUGCCCAGGGCUGACAUCGCCCACAGUGGGCUGGAACAGUCUCAUCAGUGUUUAAGAAACUGGCCCAUGGCCAUGCCCACAGGACAAAGUGGUGAAGGCGAUUUCUCAGUUACCUCUCCCUUGUGACUCUUGUGUCAAGUUGACAGAACCCAGCCAGUAUUCCUGCCUCAUCUUGUGCCCCUGUAGCGAGACCCCCAAGCAAGACCACCACAGAGACAAUAACCCGAGCAAGUACAAAGGGGUUUAUUAAAAUACGUAAGCCUGGACUUGGUCCACGUCCAACACACUGGCUAGCCAGGUGAAGGAGGACGGCCCUGAGCUCUCAGAGUGAAGGGUUUUUAAAGGGAAAAACUACAAGCUAGGUGAUACAAGCCUUCCCAUUUCAGGUUAUACUUCAGUUAACAGGAACAUUUAGCCAAGAGAAGAACUAUAGAAAACCAAAUACGUUUGGAGACUCUCCCAGUACUGUUGGAGACUUGGAUGGAUUAAACCUUUGUUUUAGCUAUUUCUUGACCAGCAGCUUACCCACCCUGGGGGCAGGGGGUCGCCUUGUCCUGAGUCUUAGCUGGGUGUCUGUGUCUCUGAAACUUGGUUCAGCUUUUAUCUUAGUAUUUCUAGACAUGAAGUUUUCUUUAAAAUGGAGUUUCUCUUGCUCUCUCACUCUCAUUCAGAGUCUAUUUCCUUCCUGUUCUGCAGUCUGUGAAGAGGCAGUGUCUCUAAGAAGUUGGUAGGAUAAUAAAUGGUUGUGGUAGUGGUUGUUAAGUGUUUUCCUUAGUAGGAAUAUAGUGGAUGUAGUGAUGAUGGUGGUGGUGUGAGGUGCAGUUGUGUUUGUGGUGGUGUGUACUGAUAAUCCACACUAUCUCUGUUAUGCCCAGAUGAUCAGGACCCAGAAAAGACCACCAUGGAGAUCUAUUCCCACAUGUAAAAGCAAAGAGCCUUUAUUUUCAAGCUCAGUCUCUGUCUCUCACAGUGGUGAGAGCAGAGAGCUCUAAGUCCAGUAAGGGUAGAGUAUUUUAUCAUAGCAGAGGUUAGCAUGAGGGGAUUUCCAGGGUUCAGGACGCUGAUUGGCUGACAAUUGUCUAGAGGUAUGUGUAAAGCAAAAAUAAAAAAGAUAAAACACAAAAAA